UCCUCUGUCCCUGGGAUUUCCCAGGCAAGAAUACUGGAGUGGGUUGCCAUUUCCUUCUCCAGGGGCUCUUCCCAACCCAGAGAUCAAACCCAGGUCUCCUGCAUUGCAGGCGGUCUCCUUGUAGACUGAGCCACCAACAUAACCCUGAAUUUUAAAAAU